UCCUCAGAAGUUCAAGCAUUUCAUUUUAAAUAAAUAUAUUGGCACCAUGUGCUCUCUGUAAUACUAAAUGAUGUACUAGGCACUGAUGGAUUCCAGAUGGAGUAAGGACAUGAAAUUAAGCUGGGGCAAUGAGUUUGGAUGAAGAACAGAACAGAGGUAAAGGGCCCUGUCAUCACAUCACAUGAGAAAGUCCAUGUUAUCAACAUGACAUCACUGGUGGUGCUAGCCAUGAUCACUGGGAGAAUAUAUAUGUAGAGGAAAUACAUCACACAGAUAUUUGGAGAAGACUAUUUCAGGUGUGCUGAAGCCCUAUCCCCAAGAUGACUAUAUUUGGAGACAGGAUUUUUGGAGG
rnacentral:lncRNA from 10 species